rnacentral:tRNA from 1 species
GGGUCUUUAGCUCAGCAGUAGAGCGGCAGACUUCGGUUCUAUCAUUCGAAGAUACCUUGAAGGUAUUCUGCAGGUCGCGGGUUCAAUCCCCGUAGGACUCU